GGGGUACCGGCGGUGGCGGGAGGGCGCAGCAGGGGCCGCCGCGGCCGCAGCAUCGCGGCGUGGUGGCGGGGAUGGAGCCCUGGAAGCAGUGCGGGCAGUGGCUGAUCAGCUGCAAGGUGCUGCCGCCCAACCACCGGGUGACCUGGGACACGGCCCAGGUCUUCGACCUGGCGCAGACGCUGCGCGACGGCGUCCUGCUCUGCCAGCUGCUCAACAACCUCCGCAGCCACUCCAUCAACCUCAAGGAGAUCAACCUGCGCCCUCAGAUGUCCCAGUUUCUCUGCUUGAAGAAUAUAAGGACUUUUCUUUCGGCAUGUUGUGAAAUAUUUGGAAUGAAGAAAAGUGAACUUUUUGAAGCAUUUGAUUUGUUUGAUGUGAGAGAUUUUGGAAAGGUGAUAGAAACACUUUCAAAGCUUUCCCGUACUCCUAUUGCAUUAGGCACAGGAAUAAGGCCCUUCCCUACAGAAGAAAGUGUUGAUGAUGAAGAUAUCUACAAAGGUCUUCCUGAUUUAAUAGAUGAAACUGGUGUUGAGGAAGAUGAGGAGUUGUAUGAUUGUGUCUAUGGAGAAGAUGAAGGCGGGGAAGUUUAUGAAGACCUAAUGAAAGAUGAAGCAGCACAGCAACCUAAAUGUCCUGAAAACGACAUAAGAAGCUGUUGUCUUGCUGAAAUAAAGCAAACUGAAGAGAAGUACACUGAAACACUGGAAUCAAUUGAGAAAUUUUUCAUGGUGCCAUUAAAAAGGUUUCUGUCAGCGUCAGAGUUUGAUACUGUUUUCAUCAAUAUUCCUGAUUUGGUGAAAAUUCACAGGAAUCUUACACAGGACAUCAAUGAUUCCAUUGUUAACAAAAAUGGUCAGAACCUGUAUCAAAUUUUUAUUAACUACAAGGAAAGGUUGGUUAUUUAUGGACAGUACUGCAGUCAAGUGGAGAUAGCGAUAUCGUGCUUAGACAAUAUCUCUAAGACAAAAGAAGACGUUAAAUUGAAGUUAGAGGAAUGUUCCAAGAGGGCCAAUAAUGGGAAGUUUACAUUGCGGGAUCUCUUAGUGGUUCCAAUGCAGAGAGUGCUGAAGUAUCACCUACUGCUCCAGGAGCUGGUAAAGCACACUGCUGAUCCCAUGGAGAAGGCAAAUCUAAAACUGGCACUUGAUGCAAUGAAGGACUUGGCUCAAUAUGUAAAUGAAGUAAAGAGAGAUAAUGAAACUCUUUGUGAAAUUAGACAGUUUCAACUAUCAAUAGAGAAUUUGAACCAUUCCCUCUUACAGUAUGGGAGACCUCAAGGUGAUGGGGAAAUAAGGAUAACAACGUUGGACAAGCGUGCAAGGCAAGACAGGCAUAUCUUCUUGUUUGAUCUAGCUGUCAUUGUUUGCAAACGGAGGGGGGAUAAUUACGAAAUGAAGGAAAUAAUAGAUCUUCAGAAAUACAAAAUUACAAAUAAUCCCACUACUGAUAAAGAAAAUAAGAAGUGGUCUUAUGGCUUCUACCUCAUUCAUAACCAAGGUGAAAAUGGUUUAGAAGUUUAUUGCAAAACUAAAGACUUGAAGAAAAAAUGGCUUGAACAAUUUCAGAUGGCUCUGUCAAACAUCCGGCCAGACUAUGCAGACACGAGCUUUCAUGAGUUCAAAAUGCAUACCUUCAGUCGGGUGACAUCUUGUAAAGUCUGUCAGAUGCUUCUAAGGGGUACAUUUUAUCAAGGCUAUUUAUGUUCUAAGUGUGGAGCUGGAGCACACAAAGAAUGUUUAGGAAGACUAGACAAUUGUGGCAGGGCUAAUUUAGGUGAACAUGGAAACGUGAAACAUGAGAAGCGAACAAAUGGAAUUAGAAGAAGCUCUAGACAUGUGGACACAGGUUUACCAAAAAUGCAAGUAAUUCGGAACUACAAUGGAAUACCACAACCAGCAGCACAGGAUGGCCCACCAUUGCAUAUCCAGAUUGGGGACACUAUUGAACUCAUUAGAGGAGAUGCACAUAGCUUAUUUUGGCAGGGGAGAAACCUUACAACAGGAGAGCUUGGAUUCUUCCCAAGUGAUGCAGUAAAACCUAGCCCAUGUGUUCCUAAACCAGUAGACUACUCUUCACAACUUUGGUUUGCAGGAGCAAUGGAACGAUUGCAAGCAGAAAGUGAACUAAUUAACAGAGUAAAUAGCACUUACCUGGUGCGGCACAGGACCAAGGAAUCAGGAGAAUAUGCAAUUAGUAUUAAGUACAAUAAUGAAGUGAAACACAUCAAGAUUUUAACAAGAGAUGGCUUUUUCCACAUUGCAGAAAAUAGAAAAUUUAAAAAUUUAAUGGAACUUGUAGAAUACUACAAGCACCACUCUCUCAAAGAAGGUUUUCGAAGUUUGGAUACUACUCUUCAAUUUCCAUACAAGGAAUCUGAAAACUCAGCGGGACAGAGGAGUAACAGAACAGGUGGCAAUGCCCCUUCUUUGUUCUGUGGGUUUUCUUUUGUAACUCCUCCAGACUACAGCUUUGUUCCCCCUUCCUCCACUCCUUUCUGGUCAGAUGCAAUAAUUUCAAACUAAGAGACUGCAUAAAAAUGCUAAAAGUAUUACCAUUGGCAGCCUCAAUUAGUGCAUCAGUAUGGGUAUGACUUGCUCUGAUCUGUAAGAUCUGGUCUUCAAAGAGGUGAACUGCACCACUGGACAACUGAAGAAGAAUUUUGCCAGUAGAAAGGUGAAUGUCUUUGAGGAGUACAUGGAAGGAGCUGCUGAUGUGGAGAACGCAGCAUUUGCUCACAUUACACUGGCCUACCUUUGUGUACAGGGGGUGGAGGACACUGCCUGAGUUGUGCACUUCAGGAUUGGGGCUGGCUUUUGCACUAGGGAAGGGAGGUGUCCAGCAUGCACAAAUGCAGAUGUAGUUAUCAAGAUCUCAGUGGGCAGUAUGUUUUACACCUGCCCCACAGAAGCUGUUCAAAUUAUUUAGUGCUCUGAGAAGGAUUCUUGAGGCUUUCUGUAGUUUAUUGAGGGGGGAAAAGGACGUAGAUGGCAGCUCAGUAGUAGAAUGGUUACAGUGCUUACUUGUGCUGAGAGCAUCUCUGAUGACCCCUCUCUUGAUUCACCCCAGGGAUUUCAAUCUCCAUCUAUUAGACGGCACUUGGAUAUUUUGCCCCUCAGUUGUUUCUUCCAUUUCUAUGCCCUUUACAUACAGAUAUUUUUGGGGCAGAUACUUUUGCUUUUCAGUAGUCACAAUAACGACUGAGAAUCUGAGCUAGAAGGUGUUCUUCCAGUUGACAUUUGCUUUUAUAGAGGGACACAGCUGUAGAAAAGAUGAGUAGAAAGCCAUUUUGGUGUAGCUGUUUGCCCUGUGGUCAUGAUGCUUGCCGGACGCUCUGAAGCACUCACCUGAUUUGAAACAACAUGGAGGAGUUAAGUUGUAGCCCUUUGUUCAAGGUAAACCCUGUGAGCUUUUGUCCUUUUGGGCAAGGAUAGGAGAUGACAUCUUGCAUUCAACUGCCCAGUUGAGUCUAAAUUCUGUUCUUACUGAAACUGGUAUCUGUUCCAUGAGGACAAAAUUAUGCAGUGGCCUAAGGUGAUAGAACAGCAAUCAACACUCAGUUACUUUAAGCCCACUACACAUUCCCACAUAUUCCCAUAUGUGGUUUCAACAAAUUAUAAUUACAUUCCUUUUUUCCACAUGAAAAACUGCUGUAUCAGAAAAUUCAGUAAUAACUAUAAUAAUAGGUACAGAUUCAAUGUCUUGCAUAUCACAAUAUGCCAGGUUAAGUAUUUUGUUACAAAAUAUUAAAGGAAAUUAUUGAUCUGCACUUCUUAGUUAAGCUUAUCUUCCUGUUGUAUUCUGAUUGCUAAGCUAUGUUGCUUCAUAUGCUUGUAGUUAAACCUUUUUAAAAAUAGCCAAAUAAUUUGCCUAUAUUAAAAGAACAAAUACGUAUUUCAUGAUAUUACAAGUGUUUUUUUCAAAAGUAUCUUUGGAGCUGGCUUAGUUCUGCUGAUAUGGAAGUUGGUAACACAGGAGAACAAACUACUGAGCACUACUGAAGGUGCUGCCUGUGCCUGGAUAGCAGAACUGAGGUUUGGUGAAACAGUACAUGUACAAAUAAAUGUACACGGCUUCAAGAAGCAUGGAAACUAAUACACAGGAGCAACCCUCAGGGCAUAUGGCUGCAGAUUUAUGAGGAGGCCAGAGCACAAGGAGAGAGAAACAGCUACUCACAGCUUUAAUAAUAGUACAUUGACCUUCAUGGAAUUUAAGCAUGUGAGCUAGGCCAGCCUGCUGUGAUCUCUGUUGUUUGCACCUAGAUGCUUCAUCAGGCUCAAACUAGUAUUAAAAUUCAUUUGCAGCACAUCUACUUCACUGUUAAUGUCCAGCAUACUCCAGUGUAAAUCAAAGCCGAUUAUAGUUCCCAGUAGUCAUCAUCUUCUGUUUGCAGAAGGAAAAGCUAGAUUAAGUAAAAGCAUCUUUUUCUCAUUCACACAUGUACUUUUUAUUUACCUCCUUUGGAUUUCUCACUCUUGUUUCCAGUUAGUUCUCUGAGAAUCUCCCUCCUAAUACACAAGGCUUAUUUAUUACUGCUUUCUCAACAGCUUAUUUUCUUUUUUAUCACUUUCUCUUCUCCCCCUCUUUAAUUUCUCAUUCACAUUCAUUCACCUGUUGGGCCCUCAGUUUCCAUCGAUCUCUGCUGUUAAUCCCAUUGUCUCCCUGCAUUUUUCCUGUAGCUGUCCUCCUCCUGCCCUUCACUCAGCAUUCCUUCUCUCUCCCAUCUGUACAGAGGUCCUUUCCAUGUGUUGUCUUCCCUCAAGUUUUACUUAUCCUGGGACAGGGCUGAUAGUCUCUGCUCAAGUUGUUUUUGUGACUGUUUCAGCAGAGAGAUACGGUUAAUAUUUUUUUCCAAAAUUAGCACUGUCAUUUCCCUGUAUUCCAUCACUCAUCUGACUUCCCUUUAUGUAUUUCCUAUUGUGAACUUCACUUUUAUUUGACAGUAUGGAUCUUGGGUUCUAAAUUAAUCUAAAUUCUGCUACUUUCUGCCUCAAGACUUUUGAAGAUAUAUGGUUUUGAUUUCUCUUAUUUUUCUCCCUUUUCUCUCUGCUUUGUGACUUGAAAAAGAGUUAGAAGUUGUCCUUUCCCCCAGGUGUGCUCCUCUUUCUUCUCUAAUUUUCCUUGCUAUUUUCCUUCUUUAUUAUUCCUCUAUGCAUUUCUUCCCUUCUUAGCUAUUUUCUUCCCCAUUUUCCAAAAUGUGUUCGUCUUUGCUUCCUGUAAUCUUUUUCCUUGCCCCUUUAUCUUUUUUCUAGAACCUGAAAUUAUACUCUGCUCCUGCUCCCCAGAAUCACUCUUCCAUCCUGCAAUGCUUCUCCAAAUCUGCCAGUGAUAUUGCUGCACACCUGGGAAUGGUUACUGACCCUACAAUCAAUAACUGCCCUUUUUUUUUUUUCUUUCUCCAAAACAAUUGCUGCCCAUGAUGUGCUCUUUCCCUGUAAAAUUGAUUACUGCAAUGCUGAAAAGUGCUAAGCCCGAAGGUGAUAGGCAUUGCCAUAGCCAGGUAUGACUUCUGCGCACGAGACAUGCGAGAACUGUCCUUGUUGAA